AACGAACGCUGGCGGCAGGCUUAACACAUGCAAGUCGAGCGCCCCGCAAGGGGAGCGGCAGACGGGUGAGUAACGCGUGGGAAUCUACCUUUUGCUACGGAAUAACUCAGGGAAACUUGUGCUAAUACCGUAUGUGCCCUUCGGGGGAAAGAUUUAUCGGCAAGGGAUGAGCCCGCGUUGGAUUAGGUAGUUGGUGAGGUAAAGGCUCACCAAGCCGACGAUCUUUAGCUGGUCUGAGAGGAUGAUCAGCCACACUGGGACUGAGACACGGCCCAG
rnacentral:rRNA from 1 species